GGCAGUGGUAGCUCUGUGGUUACGACAUUGGACUACUGAUCGGAAGGUCAUGAGUUUGAACCCCAGCACCGCCA